AUUGAACGCUGGCGGCAUGCCUUACACAUGCAAGUCGAACGGUAACGCGGGGCAACCUGGCGACGAGUGGCGAACGGGUGAGUAAUGCAUCGGAACGUGCCCAGAAGUGGGGGAUAGCCCGGCGAAAGCCGGAUUAAUACCGCAUGAGACCUGAGGGUGAAAGCGGGGGAUCGCAAGACCUCGCGCUUUUGGAGCGGCCGAUGUCAGAUUAGCUAGUUGGUGGGGUAAAGGCCUGCCAAGGCGACGAUCUGUAGCUGGUCUGAGAGGACGACCAGCCACACUGGGACUGAGACACGGCCCAGACUCCUACGGGAGGCAGCAGUGGGGAAUUUUGGACAAUGGGCGCAAGCCUGAUCCAGCCAUGCCGCGUGCGGGAAGAAGGCCUUCGGGUUGUAAACCGCUUUUGUCAGGGAAGAAACGCUCUGGGCUAAUACCCUGGGGUAAUGACGGUACCUGAAGAAUAAGCACCGGCUAACUACGUG
rnacentral:rRNA from 1 species